GACGAACGCUGGCGGCGUGCUUAACACAUGCAAGUCGAACGGAGCACCCUUGACUGAGGUUUCGGCCAAAUGAUAGGAAUGCUUAGUGGCGGACUGGUGAGUAACGCGUGAGGAACCUGCCUUCCAGAGGGGGACAACAGUUGGAAACGACUGCUAAUACCGCAUGACGCAUGACCGGGGCAUCCCGGGCAUGUCAAAGAUUUUAUCGCUGGAAGAUGGCCUCGCGUCUGAUUAGCUAGAUGGUGGGGUAACGGCCCACCAUGGCGACGAUCAGUAGCCGGACUGAGAGGUUGACCGGCCACAUUGGGACUGAGAUACGGCCCAGACUCCUACGGGAGGCAGCAGUGGGGAAUAUUGGGCAAUGGACGCAAGUCUGACCCAGCAACGCCGCGUGAAGGAAGAAGGCUUUCGGGUUGUAAACUUCUUUUGUCAGGGAAGAGUAGAAGACGGUACCUGACGAA
rnacentral:rRNA from 1 species